rnacentral:ribozyme from 1 species
CUCUCUCUCUUCUCUCUCUCUCUCUUCUCUUUGUUGUUGUUAUUGUUGUCUUGUGUGUUCAAAACAAUGGGAGAUUCCACCUACACAGCUGUUCAUCGACCAGAGGGUUUCCAAUUCCCCCUCAAUGACAAGUGGAAAAUUGAAGAGCUUU